rnacentral:lncRNA from 1 species
GGGCCACUUUUCAUUUUUCUGACUCUGCUGUCUCACCAAAUGGCUAAUGUCAAAGGUCAAAAAAAAAUGCUAUGUAAACUGGAAUUAAUCUUAAUGAGAUUUGGAUUGGCUUGUUUUGUUUUUGGAACUCAUUAAUACAAUUUCUCACCACCCCUAACCCAGGACUGAGACCCUCACCGGGACACCAUAGUCUAACAAAGGGGUUUAACACAACGAUUUAUACAUUAUGCAAAGACAGAAUCUGGAUACACGAUUCCACUGGUAUAAGGAGCUCCCAGAAAGGGAAAUUCUCUCCAUCAAUCCGUACUGCCCCUUUCCCAUAAUUUAUAAUCUUUAGAGAGUUGCUUGGGAAGGAAGGAAGAAAAUAAGCAUUCACUAGGCACCUCUGUGCUAGGCACUUGCUAAGUCCUUUAUAAAUAUUAUCUUACAUGAUCAUUACAACCACCUUGAGAGGUGCUAUUGCUAUCCCCAGCUUACAGUUUGAGGGAACUGAGACGGAUGCUAAGUGAAUUGCCGGUCACGUGGCUUGAAAGCGUCUCAGGCUGCAUUCGUACUUCCGCCUGGCAGUGAGACCUCUGGGUCAAAGGCUAUAAAAACGUUUUAGUUACGUAAGAGGUAGUAUGGUGAAAGGGAUGAAGAGCUGCCCUUGGAACCAGGACGGGGUUCUGCCCAGAUACGUCCUGGCUGUGUGAUGCCGAUGCCGGACAAGUCUUGGUGCCCAAAAAUGAAAGGCAGAAGAUAGCCAGGAACUUGAAGUCCCAUAACUUCUCUCUCAAGCCACCAGGCAAAAUAAUGUCAUUUACGCUGCAAAUAGUCUUCAACUACUUCAGGGUAAGUGGGAAGGAGAACUCUUAUCUUCUAGCUCUCCACACUAUACCAGAAGGCACAAAGGUAAAGGUGAAGGAGUCCAGAAAAGAAUGAGAAAAAGAAAGAAAGCUGCCUCUCUUUAAGGUUCACAGAAAUGGAAGUUCCACAAUAAGUCCAUUCUCUUGAAUCUGUCAACCAGGCACGGAAGUUCCCUGGACCUCUCGAUACUUUAUGAAGAGAAGUUCUUGGAUUCUUUCUCUCCCCUCCCCAGAUGCUUUAUAGUCUCAUCAGGUUAAUUGGAGGAACUCAUCAAAUUCAGCAGGGGAAAGUUAAUUACCCCCACCCCUUACACUUGGCUUCAAUCAGCUUCAUAACUACAAGAUGGGGAAGGCAUGGCUAAGCAAGAGCUAGUCUCAAAAAAAGAUUUGGAGGCUGUAGCAGGCUGGAAGUGAAUGUGAAUGGGAUUGCUCAGAUCCCAUCUGGGGUAUGUGCUUAGUUCUUGGCUCCAAAUUUUAGACAAGACAUUGAUAAACUGGGGAGCUUAAACCCAGAGGGAAGGGCC